GACGGAGGAUGCAAGCGUUAUCCGGAAUGAUUGGGCGUAAAGCGUCCGCAGGUGGCAGUUCAAGUCUGCUGUCAAAGACCGGGGCUUAACUUCGGAAAGGCAGUGGAAACUGAACAGCUAGAGUAUGGUAGGGGCAGAGGGAAUUCCUGGUGUAGCGGUGAAAUGCGUAGAGAUCAGGAAGAACACCGGUGGCGAAGGCGGCGAUCUGGACGAUGACUGACGCUGAGACGCGAAAGCGUGGGGAGCAAACAGG
rnacentral:rRNA from 1 species